UACGUAGGGUGCAAGCGUUGUCCGGAAUUAUUGGGCGUAAAGAGCUCGUAGGCGGCUUGUCGCGUCGGCUGUGAAAACUCGGGGGCUCAACUCCGAGCUUGCAGUGGGUACGGGCAGACUAGAGUGCGGUAGGGGAGACUGGAAUUCCUGGUGUAGCGGUGGAAUGCGCAGAUAUCAGGAGGAACACCGGUGGCGAAGGCGGGUCUCUGGGCCGUAACUGACGCUGAGGAGCGAAAGCGUGGGGAGCGAUCCGG
rnacentral:rRNA from 1 species